rnacentral:piRNA from 1 species
UACCAGAAGGCGGAUGAUGGGCGUCCC